GCUUGUUUGUGCAAAUAGCCUGGGAUCAGGCUAUGAUUCCUGGAUCAUUUCUCUCCUUGCGGAAGUUGGGGGACAAGAGCGAACUCUGUGACAUCUCGGGGAUGCAGCAGGUUCCUGUGGCCCCUAUGUCGAGGGGAAGGACUGAGAGGCAGCAGGGAGAGGAUGUGAAGCAGGACCUGGCGACGAAAGGGGGGCCCCACCGAUACCCCCACUCAGGAGGCUCAGAUGUGUGAAACAAAUCCCAACCCCUCUGUUAUGAAUUUUUUUUGUUGGCAUGUGCAGGAGGAAGUGAUGGACUGGUUCUUUCUGGAGAGUGGCUGCCAACCCCAAGCAGCCCCCUGCGGCCCCCCAGCCCCUUUACCAGCGUUUGUUCCUAGCAGAAGGGCUGUUUGUGUGCUGUUUGGGCUCCUUUUCUUUGUUUUAAGUGUGGCUACAAUCAGCUGCUGAGAGGCUCACUGCUCCGGUUCGUUCCCUGCCAAUUUCACUGAGAGCUGGCACCACAGGCGGCUCCGGAGGCAACGAAGAGAGGCUGGAGAGGAUAGAUCAUGGAGGGGAAAAAAUGGACACAUGCCAUCGACGGAGCGGCGAGGCUGCCAGAAUGCCAGCAGGCAGCAUGGGGCCAAAAAAAAAAACCACCCCACACAGAGCAGAAAAGAAGCUGGCAGCCCAUCUCGAAGCAGGCGGUGGCUGAGUUGGGAGAGGUGCCAUGGAGGACGGGCUGCAGCGAGCAGGCAAUGCGGGAAAGAGAGAGAGAAAAACAGACAGACAAAUUGGCAGAGGCAGCACAGGUAGCAGACGGCGAAUCGGGAGAGGAAACAGAUGCAGCCCGGCCCCAAAGGGAUCCCUGUUCAUCGCUGGCUCUCACUGGGUCCAUCACACUGAGGAUGCCAUUUCUCCCACCGAGAGAGUACAGAGCUUUGACUGUAGGAUAGCUACGCAGCAGUCCAGUGGGAACCUCCACCGUCCCCCCACGAGCCCUCUCCCACUGCACGCACUGAACUGCAUCAGCGUCCGCUGGCUUCGGGAGCUCGCAUACGCUGCUCUGAGAGAUGAGGCCAGGCCAGGUGCCUUCCCCUCCUCGUAGGAAUAUUCCUGGAUUUUGGCUCUUUCACUGGGAGGUGUAGGAGGAACCUCUGAGGCCUCAGCAGAGGAUGUCUUACAACAGCCAGGCAGCAGUGCCCGAUGUGUCUCUCCGCACGUCGCCAGCUGGGUGUAACGGUGCACGCGCAGCGUGAGCACACGGCACUGGGCCGCAGAGUUAGCAGUGUGCUGGGAGGAGGGCGGGUUAUGUGCUUGCAGGGAUUCACCCAUUGCUGCUCAGCUAUUGCCCGGGACACUUGGGACAGCCCUCUGGAACGUGGGAAUGAGCACGAAGGCCUCCUGGAAUUUCACAAACAGCUCCUUUGGCACCGGGUCAUGGCUCAGACCAGCACAGGGGCCUGGUGAGAACAUGUCAGGGCGCGUCCAGGGAAGGGGAAAGCAAUGGUGCCAUCUGGAGCGGUGGGCGAGGCGCUCUGAACGGCACAAGGGACAGGAUGCAAAGGUUACAUGAUAUCAGUUAAAUCUACCCUGCAGCCCAACACGGUAUCUGCACUCACCUGGCAUGCGGUGACUCCUUCAUUAUCAAGGCCUGGCCAAGGUGGUGUCGGCUACGUGACACACUGCAAAGAAACUGGUGUGACCUGGGGAGGCACAGAGGGCAGCAGAGUCAGUCCCUACUAGGAGCGCAGGCCCAGCUGUAUCUGGGGGGAGGAGAAUGGGGUGCAGGAACUGAAGGCCUCAGCUGCCCCCUUGCCAGUCCCAGCAGAGGGACAUUUGUAGGAAAGGCUGCAGCUCCAGUGGACCAAAGUCUGGCUGCAUUGGAGAUUCCUGGGCUGAGCACAGCUGUUCUGCUCCCUUCCUGGCUCAAAGACAGUUGAUCAGCACGAAGGGUGGAAAGUCCAAAUUGAGCAAAACAAAAGUCUGUUCGCCCUGUGUUUAAUUAGCUUGUGGAACUCACUGCCACCAGAUGUCGGUGAAGCCAAGAACUUCACGAGAAUCAAAGAGUGACUGGACAUUUAUACAGAUAACAAGACUCUCCAGAGCUAUUAUCGUACGUACGUCAACCAAAAGAGGUUGAGAAGGCGUAUAAAAUCUCCUGCUUCAGGGCUUAAGCGAAUCUCCAGCUACUAGGGAUCCUGCUACCUAUUGGUAUCCAAUACCCAGAGGAGGCCAGAAGAUGAAGAUGUAACUAUCUAUCUAACCAUCCCAACGUUCAUCUCAUGCUCAUCACUGUGAUAAACGACUGCCUCCCGACAGAAUUACCCCAAUGUGAAUGAAGUGUUGUGUGCAGCACAUGGCCUGGGGCCAGAGAGCAGGAGAUAAGGGGAGCAGCAGAGAAAACGAGUGAAUUUUAGUUCUGAAAGUGGGACAAUGAUAGCUCUGGCUGGAGCCAGGCCAGGUUGGGCCCACGGCCCCCCAGCCCCCGGGUGUCUCUGCAGCUCCUGUGCUAUUCUCUUCCCAGGUUCAUUAGGAGGGCCCAGCUCCUGGCUUCCUCCAGAGAAUGCUGGGGAAAUAUGAAUGACAAGGAUUCAGUGAAAGGGAGACAGUGGGUGAGAAAUGGUCUCCUCUGGCAGAGCCAGCUACUGUGCAAAUAAGGGGUCAGAUUGUGUUGUGAAGGCCAAAAAUAUAACUGGGUUCAGAAAAGAAGUAGCUAAGUGCAUGGAAGACAGUCCAUCUAUGGCUAUUGGCCAAGACGGUCAGGGAUGCAACCCCAUGCUCUAGGUGUCCCUAAAAAGCUGCCUGCCAGAAGCUGGGACUGGACGAACGGAGAUAGAUCACUCAACAAUUACCCUGUUCUGGUCGUUCCCUCUGAAGUGCCUGGCACCAGCCACUGUUGGAAUACAGGACACUAGGCUGGGUGGACCAUUGCUGUGACCCACUGUGACUGUUCUGAUGUUCAGAUCCGCAGAGCCUGCUCUGGCUGCUUGGCAGGGGUCUCCUCAGGAGCUGGAGAAUAGCUGUGAAGGAGAGGACACCCCCACCCCAACCCCAGAACCACCAGCAUGGACAGGUCCAAACUGACAGUCCAGAGAGGAAAGGCUCUGUACCCUGUGCCAAGACCCUAGGCCCCCCUCUCUGCCCCUUCUCCUUAGUUUCCCCUCCAGGAGUGGGGACAGACUCUGACGACGUCAGAGUGGAUGUUGUUUUAACAGGUUCCAAGUGUUUCCACAUUUACAUUUGUUUCCAUUUAGCACAUUUAAAAGGCAGAAAGGAUGCUGUGAAUGUUACUGAGCAGGCACAAGAAGGAUGGGAGAGAAAUUCAUCACAGGACACCUCUGUUUUGCCUGCCCUGCUCGUCCUCCCCCGGCACCGAGAGGACAGGCUCUCUCCGUUCCAUGGUCAGGGCUGCUGCUCUCCCGAGUGAGUGGCAAGGAGUCCCGGGCGUGCAGCCCCUGUGCAGGUGGAAGGGCGCUGGGGAAGCUGGGGGGUGCAUGCCCCUGACCUGCAGGAGGCAGGUGCCUUGACAAGUAGCUCCAGGGCUGUGCUGGCGAGGGGGCAAGCCAGAGCCCUCAGUGUUCCUGGAGGGCUAACAGGAUGGGUUGGAAGAUGAGGUCCUCCCAGCAGCUCUCCAGUCUCCCCUCACUCUCGCUCAGGGCCUGAUUCUGAACAGCUCCACAUCUUGGUGCAGGUCAGCUCCAGACCCAGUGCCAGACCCUGGGACUGGGGCUCAUCCCCAGCAGAUUCAGAUGAGAAACUUCAAUUCUCCUUCUCUCCUGUCCCAUGCCGUUGGGGGAGGCCUCUCUGCCCAGGAGGUGCAGUCAGACGGACUGGGGGGCAGGGCACCCUGGGGCUUGGCCGUAGCAGCCUGCAGGCAGGUGGGAGGUGGGUGUUUUCCUUGUAGGGGAGGGGGCCAAAUGCCUUGGAGAGGGUCUUGCCAGCGAUGCUGGAGGCAGAGCUGCCUGCGCGGCGUGUGGCAGCAUCUCGGCAGCACUCAGGGAGGAAGCGGCUCAGCUUGAUGCGAAGCCCCCCACUGGCUCCUGCUCAUCGGAGUGAGCCAAGAUGACUCGGUUUGUCUGGAAUCUGUGGGUGUCUUGAACGGGUUGGGGGGUAAUUUGUCUGUCUCCUGCAGCUGGCUGUCACUUCACAUCUGUGCACCAGUUUCAUUUUCACUAUCUGUAAAAAAUCCAAGGUCUGACAGGUAGCUAAAAAAAACCCCAACGAGUAACCCACACACCAUUCAUCUUGAGCAAAGCAAGCGGCUGGGAGCCUGGGACGGCUCUCCAGUGCUGGGGGGGAGGAUGGAGGGUGAGAGGAGACGCUGUUGGGACGGGGGCACAGAGAUCAGAAUCACUGCUGGUUCCAUAUGACGGUAUAUUGCAGGGCUGUGCUGGGCCUGUGAGUGGCCUUGGCUGCAGCUGGAUGCUGUCUGGAGAGAGCAGAGGGGAAGCGCACAAGCUACCCAUGGGAUUGCUGAGCGCUGGGCUCAGAGGAGAGCUCAGCAGGGCGAAGGAUGGAGGCAAAUGGUGGUGGGAAAACUUUGGAGUGAAAACGUUGGAUUUGUGAGAAGCGUGGAGCCACUCUAGAGAGGAAAGUGGGGACUGACCCUUCUCGAGCAGGUGCCAGGCCUGCACUGGGAGCUAGAAAUGGCCUGCAGAGCACGAGUGAUUUGUUUUGGGGUCUCAGACUGGAGAACAUGAGACGUCUUGUCCCAGGUGCACAGAAAGAGGAGCCGGGAGGUGUUCCCCCCUUGCCAUGGAAGUGGCUGGGUGAGCCAAGGGAACAGGAAGCUCCCUGGCAUGAAACCAGAGACCAUGGAGCAUGUGGUUAGGAUGUCAGACUAUGCACAGAACAUGGGUACAGCGGAUAUUGUGUCUACAGUCACUGGUUUCCAGCUCCGUGUCACAUAGAGUCACUUAGGACCAGGACUCAAAAUUGUGAAAACUACUAUUAGAAAUGUAAUUCUCCUCUGUUUUAUGACAUCACAGAAUAUGGCGGAGCUGGCCACGCUGUCAUGCUAGGUAACUUUGUGGACACAUGGUCACAGGCAUUUUCUGACAUGCUUUCAUCCCCGGCACCUCUCUGCUCUGUCUGCUCCAGCUCCCAGCACUACCCGCCCUUGAGAAGCAGCUGAUUCUCCCUGAGCAGCAGUAGAGGUGAGCUCUCUCCUGCUGCACGCUGGGCUUGUCCUGCCAUACCAAAGGGAGGCGAGAGAUGGUUUGGACCAGUGGUUCUCAUCCUGCAGCCCAAUCAGCUCACAGCUGCGACCCAUGUGACAUCCUCAGGGCCAUACAGACAGUAUAUCUAUUGCCUGGAUGCGGCCCACCUAACACACAGAGCUGCAUAUGCAGCCCACAGUGGUAAUGUAAACAGGUUGAGACCCGCUGGUCUGGACAUUCGCUGUACAUUUGAUACAAUUACACAGUUAAGUGUGCGUGAUUUCAAAACACACAAAGUUAUUAAAAACCCACCGAAACUGCUCCAUUGUCAUUCCGUUCAAAAGCCAUUGUCACACGAGCGUCCUGUUAGAGUCUACGGAACUGGACAUCUUUCUAAUAUUGUAAUAUUAAACAGAUGUGACAUCUUGCUCCGUCCUGCUCUCACUGACCCCAGGGCAGCCCCAUUGCCAGAUGCCCAAGUGAGGUUUGCACACAGCCCUGCAGGAAUGCAUAAGAACAGACUUACUGGGUCAGACCAAAGGUCCAUCUAACCCAGGAUCCUGUCUUCCAACAGUGGCCAA